rnacentral:rRNA from 1 species
AUUGAACGCUGGCGGCGUGCCUAACACAUGCAAGUCGAACGAGUGGCGGAAGGGUGAGUAAUGUCUGGGAAACUGCCUGAUGGAGGGGUAUAACUACUGGAAACGGUAGAUACUACCGCAUACCAUACGAUGUGCCCAGAUGGGAGUAGCUAGUUGGUGGGGUAACGGCUCACCAAGGCGACGAUCCCUAGCUGGUCUGAGAGGAUGACAAGCAACACUGGAACUGAGACACGGCCCAGACGCCUACGGGAGGCAGCAGUGGGGAAUUUUGGACAAUGGGCGAAAGCCUGAUGCAGCCAUGCCGCGUGUAUGAAGAAGGCCUUCGGGUUGUAAAGUACUUUUGGCGGAGAAGCGUUACCUGCAGAAUAAGCACCGGCUAACUCCGUGCCAGCAGCCGCGGUAAUAC